rnacentral:tRNA from 1 species
CUUUUUGCAUGGCACAAUGGGUCAGUGCCUCUGGCUGUUAACCAGAAGGUUGGUGAUUCAAGCCCCCCUAGGGAGG